rnacentral:siRNA from 1 species
GGAUGUGGGAUACUUAGAGCCUA